GUAGCAAUACCUUGGUAUUGUUACAGAGAAUGGCGAACGGGUGAGUAAUACACAGAUAAUCUGCCCUUAAGACUGGGAUAGCUUGUAGAAAUAUAAGGUAAUACCGGAUACCCUUACUUUGCAUAAGCAGAGUAAGAAAAGAUACUUUUGUAUCACUUAAGGAUGAGUCUGUGGCUGAUUAGCUUGUUGGUAGGGUAAUGGCCUACCAAGGCUGCGAUCAGUAGCCGGCCUGAGAGGGUGAACGGCCACAUUGGGAUUGAGAUACGGCCCAGACUCCUACGGGAGGCAGCAGCUAAGAAUCUUCCGCAAUGGGCGAAAGCCUGACGGAGCGACGUCGCGUGGAUGACGAAGGCCGAGAGGUUGUAAAGUCCUUUUCUUGCUGAGGAAUAAACAUGAUUCGUAAGGAUCGUGUGAUGACGGUAAGCAAGGAAUAAGCCCUGGCUAAUUACGUGCCAGCAGCCGCGGUAAGACGUAAGGGGCAAGCGUUGUUCGAAUUUAUUGGGCGUAAAGGGUAUGUAGGCGGAUUAAUAAGCUUGAUAAUAAAGGUCGCAGCUUAACUGUGGUGCAUUGUUGAGAACUGUUAAUCUUGAGUUACGGAGGGGAAGCUGGAAUUCCUAGUGUAAGGGUGAUAUCUGUAGAUACUAGGAGGAACACCGGAGGCGAAGGCGAGCUUCUGGCCGAUAACUGACGCUGAGGUACGAAAGCGUGGGGAGCAAACAGACUUAGAUACUCUGGUAGUCCACGCUGUAAACGAUGUGCACUAGAUGGUGGAGUCAUUUU
rnacentral:rRNA from 1 species